CUCUGGCAUCCAAUGUAGAAUCUAGUUCUUUGCAAUCCCCUGAGGUCCACUUAGGCCAAAAACAAGAACCUGUUAAAGAGUCAUCAGGAGGUGAGCCAUUGCCAGGUGCCCCAGUACUUUCUCAAGAGAGAGAUCCUGGCAGCAACAAAAAUCAAGGUGGGAGAGUGGAAGAGAUUUCAGCAGUCCCAGCAGAGACCUCUUUGGCUGUAGAAGAGGCAUCUUCAGUCCAAGAACAGAGCUCUCCAGUCCAAGAACAGAGCUCUCCAGUCCAAGAACAGAGCUCUCCAGUCCAAGAACAGACCUCCCCAUCCACAGAAGAGGCUCUGCCAGUGAAAGACGAGACCACCCCACCGGCCGAAGACCUAGAGGGAACCAUAAAAGCAGUGCACAUUGCUGACUUUGAGACGAGUCUGGAGAUGUCACAGUCAUCCUGAUCACCUUGACCACUUGUCUUCAGCGGACGUUUCUCUCUGUACGGAAGACAUACAACAAGCUUGAACAAUGUUCCAUUACGCUACAGUGUUACCUGCUUCAGAUCUCCUGCUUGUCCAUAUUAUCGGUGGUCAUUCAAGGGGACAUUUCCUCUUGCAGUUUGGAUCUGAUACAACUGCAUCUUUGCACUACAAAUAUUCUGCCCUGCCUUGCAAGGACACAGCAUCUGUUAAUACGGAGGACAGUUC